AGGCAGGUCCUUUUGCGUUCCCACAGUCGGCACAACCGUUAGACCCCCCGAAUCCUCCGCGGUUACGGUGUUCUCAGUGUCAUCAUUACUCUCGUUUAUCACCACAAAGCCUCAAGUGCGGAUCUUUAAUUUUGCAAGUGGUAAUGAGCAACAAUAACAAUUCCAACCAUGAAAAUAAGGAUAUUAACGACAGCAAUGACAGUAACAAUAACAACAGCAAAAUGAUGGUGUCAACGGUGCAGCGGAUUUUAUCCAAAAACCCUCUCGCAAUAGUUAGCGCACACAGUCGUGUCUUCGAGCUUUCAGAGCUCUCUCUCAAUCAAUCCAUAAACUUGGUUAAAAGCAAAGCAUCAGAAGACGCAAGAUAUGUUCUCUCAUCGAAAGUGUGUUCAAUACUUUUUUUUAAAUGUUCAAGAUUAACCCGUAAAUGAAAUAGCCUAAUUUUUUGUUCCCAUAAAAUGUAAUAAAAAAAACAUUCUCAUAAUAGUUUUGACUCCAUCGUCCCUCAAUUCCAGGUCCUCUCUCCUUCCGAAUCUCAUUUAGGGAUUUAUCGGGCAGUUGUAUAGAUCUCCCUCCUGCGUACUCACGUACCUACAUGACUUAAUUGAAGUU
rnacentral:lncRNA from 1 species